GUGUAGCAGGUUGGGUUUGUUACCCCACCUAUACUGCUGGUGAAGCUGUGUGGCUGCUUUAAAUUACUGGGCGGCCCCUUUGUACUCUAUAUAUGGGUAGGGGAUGACUAUUCAUGGUGCACUUCCUGUUCCCCCUCCUCAUUGCUCCGGGCUCUGACUUCCGUGCCGGCAGCGUUCAGCGUGGAGUUUAGCGUGAUUGUUUGGGUUACUUCUCAAGAGUUUCAGUUGCGGGCUCGUGGUGUUAUUGCCAGUCCAGCGCGGCUGUGUGUCUCUGACUGUGUCAGUGCAGUUUCACUUUCACUAAGGUAUGCCUGCUCCUCUUUGUGUAUGUUUUGGCUGUGUAUAUGGCGUUUAGCUAACUUUUAUUUCUUGGGUUGGGGGUUAGUGAUGGUGACUGUGCUGCUUUGCUGUAGCCAUUGUUCUGCUGGAGCUGCUUUGCUGUAGCCAUUGUCUGCUGGAGCUGCUGUUUGCCCUAGCCAUUACCUGCUGCUGUGUGCUGUGGUCAUUGUCUGCUAUAGCUGCUGGGAGAAACUGAUGCUCUAUACUGGUAUGUAUAUAAGCUGCAUUUAUUUUAUAUUGAGUAUUAGUUAAAUUAAUUGUAGCUUGGUGCAUUUUUUUUUUAUAGGUUUUAGUGUCCAGAUUGUGCUGACUGAUUCCAGCCUCCCCACAGUGCUGCUGUUUUGCCUGAGUUUAUUUAGUUUUGUUUCAUUAAUUUUCAUUUGCUCCUAGUUAUUUUGAGUUUUUGUCUUGCUUUUCUUCAUUUCAUUUGUUAAAUCAGCUUUGAUUUGCCUUUAGUUAUUUUGAUAUUUUGUUGUAUUGAUUUUCUUUUGUCUUUAUUUUGAGUUAAGAUUUGCUGGAGUUUAUUCUUAUGUAUUUUUUUCUUUAUUGGAUUAAAAUUAUAUUUCUGCUUUAUUUUUGAUUUGCUGGUUUGGACCUUUGAGGUUUAUUCUGGCUUAUUAAUUUGGGAUUUGCUUUGACUUAAUUUCAGGUUUAUUCCUGAUUUAUUAAUUUGGGUUUGCUUUUGAUUGAUUUCUUUUUGAUUUAUUUCUGAUUUAUUUUGUGGAGUUUUUUUUAUUGGAUUAAAUUAAUAUUUUUGCUUUAUUUCUGAUUUGCUGUUUUGGACCUUUGAGGUUUAUUCUGGCUUAUUAAUUUGGGAUUUGCUUUGACUUAAUUUCGGGUUUAUUCAUGAUUUACUAAUUUGGGUUUGCUUUUGAUUUCUUUUUGGUCUAUUUCUGAUUUAUUGUGUGGAGUUGCUUUUGACCUAACCUCUGUUUAUUUAAUUUUUUUGCUGAGUUUGCUUCUGAUUUAAUUUAUUUUGCCAGAUUGAACUUUCAUUUGUCCAUUUACUUUAACAAAGUUUAAGUUUGUUUCUGUGUUUUUUGAAUUAACAAAAACAAGAACAGUGGUUGUGGAAUUCCCUUCUUGGCUGUGUGUUUGUCUUUUUAGUGUUGGAGUGGUAUAAGGUGAGGUUGUAAGAGACCAGGGCCCAUAAAAAGAUAAGUACAUUUCGAGCAAUUGUAAUUGGUCUCUCUCCCUUCACCGCUGGUAGCUUUUUAUAAUUGUUUUUUUCUUUGUGUCUCUUAGUUGGACCGGAGCUGUGGGCCAAAGCGGCGGGUUCGGGGAUGUGGAAUGCUGUUCACCUUUCCUGUAGUGUAGAGCACGCUGGGUGUUGAAAUGUGUGGUUUGUAGUGUUGACUAUUUCCUCUUCCUGUACUUUCUUCUGCCGUGGUAAGCCCUCAGCCCAGUUCCUCCCUAAAUUUGUUUUUAGUAAAGUAAAUUCUACUAUUUCUAGUUUUUAUACUGUUGUCCAAGAAGGGAGUUUCUGGUCUGCCCUGUGUGUGUGUGGAAAUAUGUUUUAAAAUAAUUGUCAAUAAAUUUUCCUUAACUGAUGGUA